rnacentral:rRNA from 1 species
GACGAACGCUGGCGGCGUGCUUAACACAUGCAAGUCGAACGGAAAGGCCCUGCUUUUGUGGGGUGCUCGAGUGGCGAACGGGUGAGUAACACGUGAGUAACCUGCCCUUGACUUUGGGAUAACUUCAGGAAACUGGGGCUAAUACCGGAUAGGAGCUCCUGCUGCAUGGUGGGGGUUGGAAAGUUUCGGCGGUAGGGGAUGGACUCGCGGCUUAUCAGCUUGUUGGUGGGGUAGUGGCUUACCAAGGCUUUGACGGGUAGCCGGCCUGGGAGGGUGACCGGCCACAUUGGGCCUGCGAGACGGACCAGACUCGAACGGGAGGCAGCAGUGGGGAAUAUUGCACAGUGGGCGGAAGCCUGAUGCAGCAACGCCGCGUGCGGGAUGACCGCCUUCGGGUUGUAAACCGCUUUCGCCUGUGACGAAGCGUGAGUGACGGUAAUGGGUAAAGAAGCACCGGCUAACUACGUG